GGAAUAUUGGGCAAUGGAGGAAACUCUGACCCAGCGACGCCGCGUGCGGGAUGAAGGCCUUCGGGUUGUAAACCGCUUUCAGUAGGGAAGAAGCGAAAGUGACGGUACCUACAAAAGAAGCACCGGCUAACUAUGUGCCAGCAGCCGCGGUAAUACAUAGGGUGCAAGCGUUGUCCGGAAUUAUUGGGCGUAAAGAGCUCGUAGGUCGUUUGUUACGUCGGAUGUGAAAACCUGAGGCUCAACCUCAGGCCUGCAUUCGAUACGGGCAAACUAGAGUUUGGUAGGGGAGACUGGAAUUCCUGGUGUAGCGGUGGAAUGCGCAGAUAUCAGGAGGAACACCAAUGGCGAAGGCAGGUCUCUGGGCCAAUACUGACACUGAGGAGCGAAAGUCUGGGGAGCAAACAGGAUUAGAUACCCUGGUAGUCCAGACCGUAAACGGUGGGCACUAGUUGUGGGAACCUUCCACGGUUUCUGCGACGCAGCUAACGCAUUAAGUGCCCCGCCUGGGGAGUACGAUCGCAAGAUUAAAACUCAAAUGAAUUGACGG
rnacentral:rRNA from 1 species